CUACUACAACAAUACUGCAGUAUUUCGAGCACAGUAGCUAUUGAGGGACCAACGUGGAAAACAAGGAUGGUUGGUCAUUUAAUGAGCUUUUUAUGAUUUAUUUGGUGGUUUAUGAAGAAAAAAAAAAAGCCAGCUGGGAUUUAAAUAAAAGUGGUCCCAAAAGAAGAGAGAUUGCGACAUGUGGAGGAAGGAGAAAAGUAGGGUUUCUCUAAUUGGAACUCUAACUUUAAAAGAAAAUUCAGCCACCAUUCUAUACCCUCUACAUAUUUUUUUAGCAGCCACCAUUGAAGAAACAAGAGAAUGAAGAAGAAAAAGAGAAAAAAGAAAAGGAGAGAAAGAAAGCACAAAGGAAGAGAGCUUGAAGAUAAUAGUUAUUGAAGACAUUCAUUUCAGCUUGAUUCUCUUUACUCUCUUCUUAAUAUUGAAGGGAGAUGAUAAGACUCAAGAAAAUGAAGUUUAGAAAGAGUUUGAAGUGUUUUAGAAGUCCCUAAACCUGAGGUUCGAGGCUAGAGCGGAAGAAGUUGAAGAAAAAAGAAGAAAAAGGGAAAACAAUCUUAUGGUUGCGGCCUCCAAGAAAGUGGGUAACGGCCGCGGCGAGGAUUUUAAUGACUGCGACCUAUGCUCGAUUUUCUAAAAAAUCACAUUUUAUUACCGCAGCAGUGGACAUCAGUGGCCACGACCUACGACACUUUUUCAACUUUAAUUUUACUUUUUAAUGUAAUUUCAAGGGGACUAUAAAAGGGUUUAGGGCUAACUUUUAGAAUAAGUUUGGAUUACAAAUUUUUGGAGAUUAGAGCGAUAGAGGAUAAGAAAAAACAACAUUCUUUUCCAUUCAAUCUAGUUUUUCUUCUUUUC